rnacentral:rRNA from 1 species
UAAGGCCCCUUCGGGGGUACACGAGCGGCGAACGGGUGAGUAACACGUGAGCUACCUACCUCCAACACUGGGAUAAGCCCGGGAAACCGGGUCUAAUACCGGAUAACUCCUCAGUCGACAUCUUCUGAGGAUAAAAGUUCCGGCGGUUGGAGAUGGGCUCGCGGCCUAUCAGCUUGUUGGUGGGGUAACGGCCCACCAAGGCUUCGACGGGUAGCCGGCCUGAGAGGGCGACCGGCCACACUGGGACUGAGACACGGCCCAGACUCCUACGGGAGGCAGCAGUGGGGAAUAUUGCGCAAUGGGCGAAAGCCUGACGCAGCAACGCCGCGUGAGGGAUGACGGCCUUCGGG